rnacentral:pre_miRNA from 1 species
UAUUAACUAUUACCUUUUAGCCGUUCACCCUCGCGAGUUGUACGAACGAGUUGUAGGAGGGGGAGGAGAGGAGGAAUUAAAUCACU